rnacentral:lncRNA from 1 species
AAAAAAUAAAAGCUAAGAACACAGCAACUGUAGAUUAGGACCUGUUCCCAAAGUGGACCAGGUCAGAAAAUCUUUUCAGCAGGACCGACAGCAAGCUAUUUCAUUUAAAAUAGAGGGGCUGGCUGUGGUGCUGGGGGGGCUGUAUGGCUGAAGGGUGGUCCUGUGGUUGGGUCAGAAAUCAGCCACGUCCUUGGGGAUGCUUCUUGAUUCUCCCUCCAAAGCAUCCUCCUCUGUGACUGAGCUGGGGGUUUGGGUGAGGGCAGCAGUGUCACUGCUCCAGCUGUGAAAUAGGCUGGGGGGCUGCUGGGAAACCCCAGAAAAAUCACAAUGAUGGCCACUUGUCUAUUCUUUUAUUUUGAACAAGUGCAGCUAGAACAGGAGAUGGGACUUGAGAAUAGCCUGGAGAGCAUCUGUUUCCCUGCUAGCCUUCAGACUUCCAUGUUUAACUACCCUCCAUAAUUAGGGCUUCUUUUUAUGCAGUGCUGUGUUUCUUCUUCCAGCAGGAGAGGAAUGGAAGAGGAGAGAGGCAGGUAUGAAAAGCAAGCUUGGAGCUGGGAAGGUAAAGACCAAAGAGCUGGAAUGGGGCCUAUUCACUCCCUGGCAGCUUGAGAACUAUUUUGUGCAGGGAGAUGUGCCAUCACUAAUAACUUCAUCACCUGCCCGAGAGGCAUCGUCUUUGCCGUGUGGAUUAGAGGCUGAAAUGCAGCAUGGACUAAAUGACUUGCCCAAGGUCACGGAGGAAAUCGGUGCCUGAGCCAAGAACUUCAAAACCAGUAUUUCUGAAUCAUGACUGACAUCUUGGUGCCAGCCAGGGUUUGGUUAAGGUGGGGUCCUUGGGCAGAUGGAAAGAGUUAAAAUAAAAAAGAAUCAUGUUGACACUCUCUGAGAAACAGCACCUCUGGUUCAAAUGCUUCUUUCAUUCUCUGACCCUUCCUAUCUCCUCAGCUGUCAAUUCAGCUAAAGAGCUUUUCCCAGCGUGUUUACUUUGAAACAUUCCCUUUGCACAGACCUUUGGGGUCACGAAACCUUCAUGUUUGCUGCCUUGUGGGGU